rnacentral:tRNA from 1 species
AGCGCAGUCCGGUUAGCGCACCUGCUUUGGGAGCUAGGGGGUCGUGGGUUCGGAAUCCUGCA